GCAUAACGCGAAGAACCUUACCCACCUUUGACAUGUAUGGAAUCCCGAAGAGAUUUGGGAGUGCUCGCAAGAGAGCCAUAACACAGGUGCUGCAUGGCUGUCGUCAGCUCGUGUCGUGAGAUGUUGGGUUAAGUCCCGCAACGAGCGCAACCCUUGCCAUCAGUUGCUACGAAAGGGCACUCUGAUGGGACUGCCGGUGACAAACCGGAGGAAGGUGGGGAUGACGUCAAGUCCUCAUGGCCCUUAUAGGUGGGGCUACACACGUCAUACAAUGGCCGGUACAAAGGGCAGCGAAGCCGCGAGGUGAAGCCAAUCCCAUAAAGCCGGUCGUAGUCCGGAUCGCAGUCUGCAACUCGACUGCGUGAAGUCGGAAUCGCUAGUAAUCGUGGAUCAGCAUGUCACGGUGAAUACGUUCCCGGGUCUUGUACACACCG
rnacentral:rRNA from 1 species